CCGGCGCACGGGUGAGUAACGCGUAUCCAACCUGCCCACCACUUGGGGAUAACCUUGCGAAAGUAAGACUAAUACCCAAUGAUAUCUCUAGAAGACAUCUGAAAGAGAUUAGAGAUUUAUCGGUGAUGGAUGGGGAUGCGUCUGAUUAGCUUGUUGGCGGGGUAACGGCCCACCAAGGCAACGAUCAGUAGGGGUUCUGAGAGGAAGGUCCCCCACAUUGGAACUGAGACACGGUCCAA
rnacentral:rRNA from 1 species